GACGAACGCUGGCGGCGUGCUUAACACAUGCAAGUCGAACGGAAAGGCCCUGCUUUUGUGGGGUGCUCGAGUGGCGAACGGGUGAGUAACACGUGAGUAACCUGCCCUUGACUUUGGGAUAACUUCAGGAAACUGGGGCUAAUACCGGAUAGGAGCUCCUGCUGCAUGGUGGGGGUUGGAAAGUUUCGGCGGUUGGGGAUGGACUCGCGGCUUAUCAGCUUGUUGGUGGGGUAGUGGCUUACCAAGGCUUUGACGGGUAGCCGGCCUGAGAGGGUGACCGGCCACAAUGGGACUGAGAUACGGCCCAGACUCCUACGGGAGGCAGCAGUGGGGAAUAUUGCACAAUGAGCGGAAGCCUGAUGCAGCAACGCCGCGUGCGGGAUGACGGCCUUCGGGUUGUAAACCGCUUUCGCCUGUGACGAAGCGUGGGUGACGGUAAUGGGUAAAGAAGCACCGGCUAACUACGUG
rnacentral:rRNA from 1 species